AUUGAACGCUGGCGGCAGGCUUAACACAUGCAAGUCGAGCGAGCGGCGGACGGGUGAGUAAUGUCUGGGAAACUUCCUGAUGGAGGGGGAUAACUACUGGAAACGGUAGCUAAUACCGCAUUCCAUCAUCUGUGCCCCGAUGGGAUUAUCGCGUAGGUGGGGGAAUGGCUCACAUAGGCGACGAUCCCUAGCUGGUCUGAGAGGAUGACCUGCCACGAUGUAACUGAGACACGGUCCAGAGUCCUACGGGAGGCAGCAGUGGGGAAUAUUGCACAAUGGGCGCAAGCGUGAUGCAGCCAUGCCGCGUGUGUGAAGAAGGCCUUCGGGGUGUAAAGCACUUUCAGCGAGGAGGCGUUACUCGCAGAAGAAGCACCGGCUAACUCCGUGCCAGCAGCCGCGGUAAUUC
rnacentral:rRNA from 1 species